GGGCCCAUGAGGUAGUGGAUAUCCUACUGGCCUUCGGAGCCAGUUACCGGGGUUCGAAUCCCCGUGGGUCCG
rnacentral:tRNA from 1 species